rnacentral:rRNA from 1 species
CGUCUUGAAACACGGACCAAGGAGUCUAGCAUGUGCGCGAGUCAUUGGGAAUGACUAAACCUAAAGGCGCAAUGAAAGUGAAGGUCCGCCCUGCGCGGACCGAGGGAGGAUGGGCGUGCGGCGUUCGUCGCCGCCGCUCCGCACUCCCGGGGCGUCUCGUUCUCAUUGCGAGAAGAGGCGCACCAAGAGCGUACACGCUGGGACCCGAAAGAUGGUGAACUAUGCCUGGUCAGGACGAAGUCAGGGGAAACCCUGAUGGAGGUCCGUAGCGAUUCUGACGUGCAAAUCGAUCGUCGGAACUGGGUAUAGGGGCGAAAGACUAAUCGAACCAUCUAGUAGCUGGUUCCCUCCGAAGUUUCCCUCAGGAUAGCUGGCGCUCGUCGCCUACGAGUCUCAUCCGGUAAAGCGAAUGAUUAGAGGCAUUGGGGUCGAAACGGCCUCAACCUAUUCUCAAACUUUAAAUGGGUGAGAUCUCCGGCUUGCUCGAACUAUUGAAGCCGCGAGACACGGAUCAGAGUGCCAAGUGGGCCAUUUUUGGUAAGCAGAACUGGCGCUGUGGGAUGAACCAAACGCCGAGUUAAAGCGCCUAAAUCGACGCUUAUGGGAUACCAUGAAAGGCGUUGGUAACUUAAGACAGCAGGACGGUGGCCAUGGAAGUCGGAAUCCGCUAAG